AUGCUCUCGGCGGGGGUCGGAGAUCAGGGCCAGCGUCUUGUGGGCCGCAGGAGGAAGAUGGCGGUGGAGUCGGGCGUCACCCAGGAGGAGAUCAAGAAGGAGCCAGAAAAGCCCAUCGACCGCCAGAAGACUUGCCCGCUGCUGCUGCGCGUCUUCACCACCAACAACGGCCGCCACCACCGCGUGGACGGGUUCUCCUGCGGGAACGGGCCGUCCAGCGAGCUGCAGAUCUACACCUGGAUGGAUGCAACCCGGAAAGAACUGACUGGUGUAGUGAAAGAAGAAUACCCAGAAGCUAGAAGUAAGGGCACACACUUCAGUUUUGCCAUCGUUUUCGCUGAUGUUAAAAGACCAGGUUACCGAGUUAAGGAAAUCGGCAGCACCAUGUUUGGCAGAAAGGGGACUGAUGACUCGUGACCCUGCAGUCGCAGAAGUUUCAGAUAGGAGAUUAUUUGGACAUAGCGAUCACCCCUCCAAACUGGGCACCACCCCCCUCAGGGCGCAUGAGACCAUGUUAG